GCGGACGGGUGAGUAAUGUCUGGGAAACUGCCUGAUGGAGGGGGAUAACUACUGGAAACGGUGGCUAAUACCGCAUAACGUCGCAAGACCAAAGAGGGGGACCUUCGGGCCUCUUGCCAUCAGAUGUGCCCAGAUGGGAUUAGCUUGUUGGUGAGGUAACGGCUCACCAAGGCGACGAUCCCUAGCUGGUCUGAGAGGAUGACCAGCCACACUGGAACUGAGACACGGUCCAGACUCCUACGGGAGGCAGCAGUGGGGAAUAUUGCACAAUGGGCGCAAGCCUGAUGCAGCCAUGCCGCGUGUAUGAAGAAGGCCUUCGGGUUGUAAAGUACUUUCAGCGGGGAGGAAGGUGUUGUGGUUAAUAACCGCAGCAAUUGACGUUACCCGCAGAAGAAGCACCGGCUAACUCCGUGCCAGCAGCCGCGGUAAUACGGAGGGUGCAAGCGUUAAUCGGAAUUACUGGGCGUAAAGCGCACGCAGGCGGUCUGUCAAGUCGGAUGUGAAAUCCCCGGGCUCAACCUGGGAACUGCAUUCGAAACUGGCAGGCUUGAGUCUUGUAGAGGGGGGUAGAAUUCCAGGUGUAGCGGUGAAAUGCGUAGAGAUCUGGAGGAAUACCGGUGGCGAAGGCGGCCCCCUGGACAAAGACUGACGCUCAGGUGCGAAAGCGUGGGGAGCAAACAGGAUUAGAUACCCUGGUAGUCCACGCCGUAAACGAUGUCUACUUGGAGGUUGUGCCCUUGAGGCGUGGCUUCCGGAGCUAACGCGUUAAGUAGACCGCCUGGGGAGUACGGCCGCAAGGUUAAAACUCAAAUGAAUUGACGGGGGCCCGCACAAGCGGUGGAGCAUGUGGUUUAAUUCGAUGCAACGCGAAGAACCUUACCUGGUCUUGACAUCCACAGAACUUUCCAGAGAUGGAUUGGUGCCUUCGGGAACUGUGAGACAGGUGCUGCAUGGCUGUCGUCAGCUCGUGUUGUGAAAUGUUGGGUUAAGUCCCGCAACGAGCGCAAC
rnacentral:rRNA from 1 species